UACAGAGGUCUCAAGCGUUGUUCGGAUUCAUUGGGCGCAAAGGGUGCGUAGGCGGCGCGGUAAGUCGGGUGUGAAAUCUCGGGGCUUAACUCCGAAACUGCAUUCGAUACUGCCGUGCUUGAGGACUGGAGAGGAGACUGGAAUUUACGGUGUAGCGGUGAAAUGCGUAGAUAUCGUAAGGAAGACCAGUGGCGAAGGCGGGUCUCUGGACAGUUCCUGACGCUGAGGCACGAAGGCCAGGGGAGCAAACGGG
rnacentral:rRNA from 1 species